rnacentral:rRNA from 1 species
AUUGAACGCUGGCGGCAGGCCUAACACAUGCAAGUCGAGCGGUAACACAGGGAGCUUGCUCCCGGGUGACGAGCGGCGGACGGGUGAGUCAUGUCUGGGAAACUGCCUGCUGGAGGGGGAUAACUACUGGAAACAGUAGCUAAUACCGCAUAAUGUCGCAAGACCAAAGAGGGGGACCUUCGGGCCUCUUGCCAUCAGAUGUGCCCAGAUGGGAUUAGCUAGUAGGUGGGGGAACGGCUCACCUAGGCGACGAUCCCUAGCUGGUCUGAGAGGAUGACCAGCCACACUGGAACUGAGACACGGUCCAGACUCCUACGGGAGGCAGCAGUGGGGAAUAUUGCACAAUGGGCGCAAGCCUGAUGCAGCCAUGCCGCGUGUAUGAAGAAGGCCUUCGGGUUGUAAAGUACUUUCAGCGGGGAGGGAGGCGAUAAGGCUAAUAACCUUGUCGAUUGACGUUACCCGCAGAAGAAGCACCGGCUAACUCCGUGCCAGCCGCCGCAGUAA